UUCCAGACUCCUACGGGAGGCAGCAGUGGGGGAUAUUGCACAAUGGGGGGAACCCUGAUGCAGCGACGCCGCGUGGGUGAAGAAGUAUUUCGGUAUGUAAAGCCCUCUCGGCAGGGAAGAAUUUAGACGGUACCUGACUAAGAAGCCCCGGCUAACUACGUGCCAGCAGCCGCGGUAAUACGUAGGGGGCAAGCGUUAUCCGGAUUCACUGGGUGUAAAGGGAGCGUAGACGGCCAUGCAAGCCUGGAGUGAAAGCCCGGGGCCCAACCCCGGGACUGCUCUGGGAACUGUGCGGCUGGAGUGCGGGAGGGGCAGGCGGAAUUCCUGGUGUAGCGGUGAAAUGCGUAGAUAUCACGCAGAACCCCGAUUGCGAAGGCAGCCUUCCGGCGCCCUACUGACGCUGAGGCACGAAAGUGCGGGGAUCGAACAGGAUUAGAUACCCCAGUAUU
rnacentral:rRNA from 1 species